rnacentral:misc_RNA from 1 species
AAGUCGUAACAAGGUCUCCGUUGGUGAACCAGCGGAGGGAUCAUUACGAGAGUGUCACCACUCCCAACCCAUUGUUUACCUACCCGUCCACCGUGCUUCGGCAGGCAGUCCUGUGGGACAGGGCCUCGCCCCCGCGAGGGGGUGCCUGCCGCUGGCCAACCAAAAUUCUAGCUGUUUUUGUACUAUCUGAGUCUUCCACAAAUAAACAAAACUUUCAACAACGGAUCUCUUGGUUCUG